rnacentral:rRNA from 1 species
GACGAACGCUGGCGGCGUGCUUAACACAUGCAAGUCGAACGGAAAGGCCCUGCUUUUGUGGGGUGCUCGAGUGGCGAACGGGUGAGUAACACGUGAGUAACCUGCCCUUGACUUUGGGAUAACUUCAGGAAACUGGGGCUAAUACCGGAUAGGAGCUCCUGCUGCAUGGUGGGGGUUGGAAAGUUUCGGCGGUUGGGGAUGGACUCGCGGCUUAUCAGCUUGUUGGUGGGGUAGUGGCUUACCAAGGCUUUGACGGGUAGCCGGCCUGAGAGGGUGACCGGCCACAUUGGGAAUGGGAGACGGCCCAGACUCCUACGGGAGGCAGGAGUGGGGAAUAUUGCACAAAGGGCGGAAGCCUGAUGCAGCAACGCCGGGUGCGGGAUGACGGCCUUCGGGGUGUAAACCGCUUUCGCCUGUGACGAAGCGUGAGUGACGGGAAUGGGUAAAGAAGCAACGGCUAAAUAAGU